rnacentral:rRNA from 1 species
GAUGAACGCUGACAGAAUGCUUAACACAUGCAAGUCGAUGGGGAAGUGGUGCUUGCACCAUGGCAACCAUGGCGGACGGGUGAGUAACGCGUAAGGGACUUACCUGCAGGACUGGGAUAACAGGGGGAAACUCCUGACAAGACCGGAUAAUGUCAUGGAGCUGCAUGGCUUUAUGAUGAAAGGAGACGCCUGCGGAGAGCCUUGCGUCCUAUUAGCUAGUUGGUGAGGUAAUGGCUCACCAAGGCGAAGAUAGGUAGCCGGCCUGAGAGGGUGGACGGCCCAAGGGGGAUGGGGAUACGGCCUUAACCCCUAGGGAAGGCAGCAGGGGGGAAAAUUGGACAAGGGGGGAAACCCUGAUCAGGCAUUUCUGGGGGAAGGAAGAGGUUUUCGGGAUUGAAAGUGCUUUCAGCAGGGAAGAAGUAAGUGACGGUACCUGCAGAAGAAGCGACGGCUAAAUACGUG